GGAGAGGUGGCCGAGUGGCUGAAGGCGCAUGCUUGGAAAGCAUGUAUACGGGCAACCGUAUCGGGGGUUCGAAUCCCUUCCUCUCCG
rnacentral:tRNA from 2 species